rnacentral:lncRNA from 1 species
ACCUACACAUGAACACAGAGACACAGAGACAGAUAGGCACAGAGAGAGAGAGAGAGAGAAAACACAUUGGGGUGAAGCAUCAUUUUUUAAACAAAAAUUAAAAUAAUUUUUAAUCUUUCUCCUUGCCUGACCCAUGGCUGCGGACCCUUAUCUGAUCAUCAUGUAACUGUCCAUGAGGCUUCCUAUAACCCAGGACUCCACAGAAGACAGGUUGGGAAGCAAAGACCUCCCCGAGAAAAUAGCAGUAGGAAGGAGGGAAGGACAUUGCCAAGUGGCAAUGCUGUUCCAGGCCAGAUGCUGAGCCAACACUACAGCGUCUCAUUCUAUCAACCUUCUGAGGCAGCGACUUUCCUCCUGCUCUGAAGAUGACUAGGACAGAGAUUUCAAAGGACCAGGGGUCUCUUCCAGUUACUCUUCCCAUGCUGCAACUGAUAAGGAAGCACGAGAAGGGACCUGCUCCAGACAGAAGAAAAAUCAGCUUCCCUCCACAUUCCUUUGUGGCGUGAACCCUCCCAGUCUGACCUUUCUCCUCCCAGCGCAUCUGAUUGAAGUAGCUUCUGGAGGCCUUGGGAGUCAGGAAUUAUUAAUAUCAAGGAGGGACAAAUGAAGCCUCAAUUGGUUGUCUGAGCUGAAUGCCAUCUCCCUGCAAAGGUGUCCCCUCUUGAGACAAGGAUCUUUUGAGGGGAUUUAGAGGGACAGCAAAUGCC